AUUAUACUCCCUUCGUCCGAAAAUACUUGUUUUAGAAAUUGAUAUAAUGAAUGUAUCUAUAACUAAAAUAAAUCUAGAUACGUUCAUUUCUAGGACAAGUAUUUUCGGACGGAGGGAGUAUUAA
rfam:Hordeum vulgare subsp. vulgare, WGS project CAJW01000000 data, contig: morex_contig_55404